rnacentral:rRNA from 1 species
AUUGAACGCUGGCGGCAUGCUUUACACAUGCAAGUAGAACGAGUGGAGCACGGGUGAGUAAUACAUCGGAACGUGUCCUAUCGUGGGGGAUAACUGAUCGAAAGAUCAGCUAAUACCGCAGACGAUUGGAGCGGCCGAUGCACGAUUAGCUAGUUGGGGAGGAAAAGGCUCACCAAGCCGACGAUCGGGAGCUGGCCUGAGAGGACGACCGGCCACACUGGGACUUCGACACGGCCCAGACUCCAGCGGAAGUCAGCAGUGGGGAAUUUUGGACAAUGGGGGCUACCCUGAUCCAGCCAUGCCGCGUGCAGGAUGAAGGUCUUCGGAUUGUAAACUGCUUUUGUCAGGUAAGCGGUACCUGAAGAAUAAGCACCGGCUAACUUCGUGCCAGCAGCCGCGGUAAUAC